rnacentral:rRNA from 1 species
UAAUGAUAUAGGAUCUCCGUCCUAUUUUGUUGGUUUCUAGGACGAGGAUAAUGAUUAAUAGGGAUAAUUGGGGGCAUUCAUAUUAAGACGUCAGAGGUGGAAUUCUUGGAUUGUCUUACGACGAACUACUGCGAAAAGCAUUUGCCAAGGAUGUUUUCAUUGAUCAAGAACGAAAGUAAGGGGAUCGAAGACGAUUAGAUACCGUCGUAGUCUUUACCAUAAACUAUGCCAACUAGAGAUUGGAGGUCGUUCUUUGUAUGACUCCUUCAGCACCUUAUGAGAAAUCAAAGUUUUUGGGUUCCGGGGGGAGUAUGGUCGCAAGGCUGGAACUUAAAGGAAUUGACGGAAGGGCACCACCAGGAGUGGAGCCUGCGGCUUAAUUUGACUCAACACGGGAAAACUCACCAGGUCCAGACAUAGUAAGGAUUGACAGAUUGGUAGCUCUUUCUUGAUUCUA